GCAGAGAUAAUGCUCUGGGAGAAGGAUUCUGCAGCAGUCCUCAAAGGCUAGACUUGGGUAUCGCUGCAUAAGCGCUGAUUCUUCAGCUUGUCUCUAACCGAGGAAGCUGACUGGGAACUACUCAUUCAGAAAAUUAAAAGAAAGAAGCCAGAACUCGUUAUCAACCCUUUGAGAACACAGCAUAACGGACUUCCUUUACUACUUCCUUGAAUAGGAGAGGUCACAGGGCAUUAAAGAAUGGCAGAUGAUCGGAAAGAUGAAGCAAAGGUGCCUCACUGGACCUCAGCUCAACUAACAGG